UUUAAUUUGAUGUAAAAUGAAUAGAAGUCAAUUAAUGUAUAUAGUAACUAUUAAGUCUAAGAUAUAUAUACCCUAGUAAGCUAUAGUACUUUUUCCUUUGGGAAGGUACCAUCUGUGCAGUCUGCAAUUUUGUUGAAGAAAGAUGUUGAAUCUAUUUAAUAUUUCUUGAAAAAUAAUUGAUUUCUGUGCAUUUUUUUUUCACACUGCAUCAAAUUAAGGUUGAUUACGUCGAUUAAGCAUCAUGAGGUGGAGCGUGAGGGGUGGUUCCCUAUUUUUUAUUUAUUUAUUUUUGUUGUUGCUGGGAGUUGGAACCCUAUUAGUUAGGUUGCUUAAUAUUUAUGCUAAGUACUCUUUAAAAUACCAGAAUAGGGAGGAUGGUGUAGGUUUAAGUUUAUUAGAUUGAUCAGUAUUGCUGAACUAUGAAAUAUUUUUUUUGCAUACAGGUAUAACAGAAUAGCUUUAGUGUAGUUGUUGUUUUAAACUUGAGUAUGAACUUAUACAAAAUGCAGCAAGAUAUUUAAAAAACAGUUUUGUUGAUUAAAAAACACUAUAUCGGAUUCAUAUCGGUAUCGGCAGAUAUCCAAAUUUAUGAUAUCGGUAUCGGUAUCGGACAUAAAAAAGUGGUAUCGUGCCAUCUCUAAUUGAUAUAUGCAUUUUAUUUAUUUAUUUAUUUAUUUUUUCUGCUCAUUCUGUUGGUUUUUGUUUUUUGCCCUUCUCCCCCGUCCCUUUUCUCAGCUGUUUCUCUUUCCCUCUUUCUUUCUCCCCUUCUUUCCCCAGUCAAGUCUGUCCCGUAUUCAGUAAGUGAAAAUAAAAUAAACAAUAAAAGGUGAAUCAAAUGGACCAUUACGGCAAGGCUGGGAUGGUCAAUUUGGUAAAGUAAAUCCGUUGGGCAUCUUUCUUUGCCUUUAGACAACAAUUCUGAUGGCAAAAGAGCCAAACGGGACAGGCAAAAAAAAAAGGAAAAAAAAAAAAAAAAAAGAAAAAAAAUAAUAUUUAACUAUUAAUCACAGUUUUGCUAAAUAAAAGGAUCUGGCUUGCAUCAGUCACAUGAUCACAUUUCACCAAUGAUCGCCCUUGACGGCAGAACGCGCUGGUUACGAGCUGGGAACGAGCUCACAAAGAGCACGCGCAUUUUUAGCGGUCCGGAGCUGUAGGAGAAACACAAGUUAACUCAGAGACACAGACUGAUGCGACACAACCAGUAAGUAGGUGUACUAUGGGCAGAAAUCCGUGCCAUCAGAAACUCAAUUUGAAUAAGUUCAAUUUGAAUUUGAAUGGCUCAGAUUGAAUCUGAAGAAAAGAGAAAAAAAGAAAAAAAAAAAGAAAACAGAAUACCCACCCCAGCCCGCCGCCUCUUACCAGGGGCAACUCCAGACUGAGACGGAGUCCAGCCCCUCUCCAGGAGACUGGUCCCAGAGCCCAAGCCAUGCGUAGAGGUGAGCCCGACUAUAUCUAGCCGGUACCUCUCAACCUCACGCACUAACUCAGGCUCCUUCCCCACCAGAGAGGUGACAUUCCAUAUCCCUAUUGCCAGUCUUGGCAGCCAGGGAUCAGUCCGCCAGGGCCUCCGCUCCUGGCCGCCACCCGGCACACAAUGCACCCGACCCCUAUGGCGCCUCCUGUGGGUGGUGGGCCUGUGGGAGGAUGGGCCCAUGUCUCCUCUUCGGGCUGUGCCCGGCCGGGCCCCAUGGACUAAGGCCCAGCCACCAGACGCUCCCUCCCAGGUCCUGGCUCCAGGGCGGGGCCCCAGUCACCCUAUCCCGGGCAGGGUAAACUGUUCCCUCGAUGUUCUCUUCAUAAGGGUCUUCUGAAUCGCUCUUUGUCUGGUCCCUCACCCAGCACCAAUUUGCCAUGGGAGACCCUACCAGGGGGCUAAAGCCCCCAGACAAC
ensembl:lncRNA